CGGAGGGUGCGAGCGUUGUCCGGAAUCACUGGGCGUAAAGGGCGCGUAGGCGGCCUGAUAAGUAGGGGGUGAAAUCCUGCGGCUUAACCGCAGGGCUGCCUUCUAAACUGUCGGGCUAGAGCACGGUAGAGGCAGAUGGAAUUCCCGGUGUAGCGGUGGAAUGCGUAGAGAUCGGGAAGAACAUCAGUGGCGAAGGCGGUCUGCUGGGCCGUUGCUGACGCUGAGGCGCGACAGCGUGGGGAGCAAACAGGAUUAGAUACCCUGGUAGUCCACGCCGUAAACGAUGGACACUAGGCGUCGGGGGGAGCGACCCUCCCGGUGCCGUCGCUAACGCAGUAAGUGUCCCGCCUGGGGAGUACGGCCGCAAGGCUG
rnacentral:rRNA from 1 species